AGCCUGUCACUAACAAUAAGGAGGGUAAAGGUACCUUUACUCUCCUUACCUGUCACCAUGUAGCAUGCACCUGCACCUUGCUCGUGCUCGCGCUGCCUCGUCGAGGCUGCCUCAUACUCUUGCGGCCUCUCAACUCUCUAAGUCAAAAUGGCAUUACACAUUAUGUACGUAAUCGCUGUUGCUCUCCUGAACUCUCGAAUUUUGACACAGAAAAGUCAAGACUCUUGCUAAUUGUUGUUGCUAAAACUUGCUUUAAAAUCAACGCGUUUUUAUGAAGACCCCAAGGAUAUGGCCUGUAACAAAGGAAUGCAUGGUCAAUCAGCCAAACAGCGGUGGGAUUCUUCAAAUAGAGCUCGCAACCUCAGACAAAAAAAAAGAUGCUUGUGGAUGGUAUCUCUACUCCUUACUCAGGCUCCUAUGGACGAGAUCAGUCGGCAACUUUAGAAUCCUGCAAAUCUUGCCUUGUAGUGGAGAUCGUUUUACAAUAAUUAGAAGUAUGGAUAUUACUUUGCGAAUUGUUUUCAGGUCAAAGGUUUGACUCGAGUGAAAUAAAUCCCAUGCACGUGUGCUUCAGAAGAUGAAACAGAGGUUCCAUGCUUGGUGAUCAAUAGGGAGGUGGAGUAGCAUGUUGUUUCGGCAGCAAAGUAAAUUCUACUUCGCCUGUGGUCGACAACUCGCUCUGCAUGGUGGUAAGGCUCGAUCUGCGAGGUCGAAAUCAGGAAGGACAUUCUUGUGCUCAACAUCUGCGCUGAUGACAACUCAAACGUGGCCACGCAUCAUACACAUGAAACUUGAUGCAGCUAAUGCCACAGUGACCGUGAAUGCUGCAGCUGCUGCGGUGAACGGCCACGCCAAAAUCUAGCCGGUCGAAGCUACUAAGAACGAGGAUUUCCAUUUUCCAUUUGUUUCCAUUUCCAAUAUUACAUUUGAGCUCUGGUCUUCAACCAAUGUUUUUUGUGUUUUGACACUUGGGGUCGGACCCUAAAGGUUUUAAUUGACCUGAUAUUAUGGUCCAUCUUUUAAAGCCAAAUCAUCUGUAAAUUGCACAAUGAAACUUGGGAGUCCUUGCUCAGAGUCUACAUUUUCGUCCUGAACCUAUUUUUAGAAACAUUUAAGGGCCGUCACCUUGAAAAAGCGAAUUUUCUGGAAACAUUUGCGGACGUUUAAUUUUAAUUAGUAAUAAAAAUAAUAAUAGAAUGAUUUAUUUGGAUAAAAUAUUUAAUUAUUUUUAAGGACCAGUUUUUUCUGGAAGAUUUAAUAAAUGAUGCUGUCUGUUAGCGGAGAAGCAAAAAUUGCUAAACUACAUCCAAAAUACCCCAUUGUUGAAAAAUUACUCUCCAUCUUUUGUUGCAUCAAGGAAAUUCGCUAUUAAUUGUUGAGACAUUAAAUUUUUAUUAUGGAAGAAUAUUUUUGAUCAGAUUUUCCAUAUUAAUUCGGUGGCAAACAUUAUUUGAUUUGAAAUCUCAGUAACGGUUUUUUCCUUUUAAUUAUCAAAUGACAUCUGCAUUUUGCUCCAAGGACGUUGUCUCUGUCAGGCAAAAUGAUAUAAGUUCUUCCACAAAUGAAAUUUUGCAGUUAUUUUUUGCAAACAUUGAUUCAAAUUUCAUUUUUCAGGAGCACAUACAUGUGAAGUGGUUUGAAUCUCCAAUCGCUGUUGGGCGCUUAUCUCUUCUCUGCUCUGCUCUGGUUGCUGAGUUGUAUAUCCACAGACAGCUCUCACGCCCGGAUAGAUAAUUCUUCUAGACGAAUCAGACACAAGCCCCUCUGCCAAAACAUCGAAUGUUGUGUCCUGCUUGCCUAGUACGAGACUCAAGCCGUCGCACGCUCAUCUGAUAACUGUGCUCUUCAAGCUAUUUCUGAGUCUCAAUCCUGAUGAGAAGGGCCAAGUAAGGAAACGCAGAGAUUUCAGGCUGGACGACAGUGCACUGCGAGACACACACUCCGCACGACGUCUUUCCUUGACAGACCGGCUUGCUCGGUCCAGCUUCAAGUUCCAAGUUUACCGUGAACCUGUGUGCACAAGUCGCAGUGCUGAUCAACCCUCUGGUCACUUGGCAAGGUGAGGGCAACACUCACCUGCAUUCCACUCCGCAAGUCAAUGCAGUGCUAUCUCCGUCUGCGUCCCUGAGAGCCCUGAAGAAGGUAUAAUCUCGCUGACAUCCUCACUGGCUGGCGAUGGCAUGUGCUCUACAGUCUUGCGUCGUCAGUGCCAGGGCUGCCUAGGCCAAGCGGACUCCAUCCGCAAUUAUUGCCGGAGUAGCUGGUCAGUUCACGACUCAGCUCUGGUUUUCUCUGGUGCUACCCUUUUUUUCUCCGGCAGCUGGUUAAAUCUGUGUUAAUUUUUUAUCUUCAUCAAAACUUGAUGUGUUUAAGAAUUAAUUUUUGCUUUUAAUAUGAAGGAGAGAUAUUUCUAUUAUAAAAUUACAUGCCAAUGCAAUAAAUAUUGUUCAUGUACACCACUAACAUACUUGUUUGGCGUGUAUUUGUCAAUUUUUAGUGUAUUAGCUUUACACGUUGAACUAUGAGAUUCUAAAACAAAUAAGACAAUGUCUAUAUUGGUUGUAAUCAAAACUCGAGUGUUCGAUAAGGCCGUUCUUUUCAAAAACAUUAAUCAUAGCUGCCUGUUAAACGGAUUUUAAAAACCAUGGUUUUGUGUGUUAGUUGGUCAUCACUGGGUAGACUAGUCUGCCGGCUUUCUAAGCUGUGUGGUUUAUUUAAGGCAUUGGUGAAAUUUUGCCUAGCGGCUUGUAGACAACAUAUUAAAUAUGACGUUUGAUAGUGCUUAACGUCCCAAAGGGCCUGAAAACUUUUUAACUCCCUCAAUUUUUAACCGGCAGUUUGGAUUUUUAUGAAGGAAAUGAUUUGUUUUGAAAAAUUGUUACCAGAAUGUAUGCUUGUUACUGCUAUCUUGUAUAGACGGUUUAGUUUUGUAAAACAAAAUCCAUAACAGUAAAUAUUAUUGUUACUUGCACGCCACUAUUCAUAUUUUUUUUCUCUUUAUUUUUAGCUCUGAUUGUUAAACCAGCCUCUGAAUAUAGGCUUUUGGGUGAUCUGCAUGUUUUUCAUUCUUGUGUUGAAAUAAAUUUGAAUUAUAGGAUGGAUAA